UAAUACGGGGGAUGCGAGCGUUGUCCGGAUUCACUGGGCGUAAAGGGCGCGUAGGCGGCCGUAUCAGUCGGAUUUAUAAGUGCGGGGCUCAACCCCGUGAUGGGUUCGGGACGGUACGGCUGGGGCGCGGCAGAGGGAGACGGAAUGCCGGGUGUAGUGGUGAAAUGCGUAGAGAUCCGGCGGAACACCGGUGAUGAAGAUGGUCUCCUGGGCCGAGGGCCGACGCUGAGGCGCGAGAGCGUGGGGAGCGAACCGGAUUAGAUACCCGGGUAGUCCACGCCGUAAACGGUGGAUACUAGGUGUGGGGGGUAUCGACCCCUCCCGUGCCGGCGCGAACGCAGGAAGUAUCCCGCCUGGGGAGUACGGCCGCAAGGCUA
rnacentral:rRNA from 1 species